CAGUCGCCACGGUAAUACGUAGGUCCCGAGCGUUGUCCGGAUUUAUUGGGCGUAAAGCGAGCGCAGGCGGUUAGAUAAGUCUGAAGUUAAAGGCUGUGGCUUAACCCUAGUACGCUUUGGAAACUGUUUAACUUGAGUGCAAGAGGGGAGAGUGGAAUUCCAUGUGUAGCGGUGAAAUGCGUAGAUAUAUGGAGGAACACCGGUGGCGAAAGCGGCUCUCUGGCUUGUAACUGACGCUGAGGCUCGAAAGCGUGGGGCGCAAACAGGAUUAGAUACCCCAGUAGUCCCUGUCUCUUAUACA
rnacentral:rRNA from 1 species